rnacentral:rRNA from 1 species
ACACGACUACAUUAGAUACCCGUGUAGUCCCAGCCGUAAACGAUGCGCGUUAGGUGUAUCGACGACCACGAGUCGUCGAGGUGCCGAAGGGAAACCGUGAAACGUGCCGCCUGGGAAGUACGGUCGCAAGGCUGAAACUUAAAGGAAUUGGCGGGGGAGCACCGCAACGGGAGGAGCGUGCGGUUUAAUUGGAUUCAACACCGUAAAACUCACCAGGGAAGACUGUUACAUGAAAGCCGAGAUGAAGACUCUGCUAGAUUUUCAG